ACCCUCUGUGACGUCAGCUACGGACAUAUUGGAUAUAUUAGUAGUAUUCACCACUUCAUCUCAGGUGCUAUUGCUUCCAUUUCGCGUCCACGGAAUUAUUGUCUAUUCAAGAUGGGGCCAUCGUUCGGGCCGUUGGUGAUAACCGUCCUGGUUGGACUGAUACAGACCUUGACUGCAACCGUGAAUGUUGACGAGAAGUAUGAGCCAAUGGUUGCAUUCAUGUGCAACAAGCCGGCCAUGCACCGUGUCCUGAACGGCUGGGAGUACGACACCACUACCGACUGUCUAGAGAAGAAGCCUGCUAUCCUCAAGUACUGCCAACAGUUGUACCCUGACC